UACGGAGGGUGCAAGCGUUAUCCGGAUUCACUGGGUUUAAAGGGUGUGUAGGCGGAUUUUUAAGUCAGUGGUGAAAUCUCCGGGCUCAACCCGGAAACUGCCAUUGAUACUAUUAGUCUUGAAUUCUGUUGAGGUGGGCGGAAUACAUCAUGUAGCGGUGAAAUGCUUAGGUAUGAUGUAGAACACCGAUUGCGAAGGCAGCUCACUAAGCAGACAUUGACGCUGAGGCACGAAAGCGUGGGGAUCAAACAGG
rnacentral:rRNA from 1 species